rnacentral:lncRNA from 1 species
ACAACAGGUGCUGGAGAGGAUGUGGAGAAAUAGGAACACUUUUACACUGUUGGUGGGACUGUAAACUAGUUCAACCAUUGUGGAAGUCAGUGUGGCGAUUCCUCAGGGAUCUAGAACUGGAAAUACCGUUUGACCCAGCCAUCCCAUUACUGGGUAUAUACCCAAAGGACUAUAAAUCAUGCUGCUAUAAAGACACAUGCACACGU